rnacentral:tRNA from 1 species
UGAUAUCCUUGUUGUAUGGGGUUGCGUUUCGGCCGCAGAUUUUGGAUGUGUUUCCUAUCAA